rnacentral:rRNA from 1 species
UGCGUAGGCGGCCCUGUAAGUAUGGUGUGAAAUCUCCCGGCUUAACUGGGAGGGUGCGCUAUAGACUGCGGGGCUCGAGUGUGGGAGAGGAAAGUGGAAUUCCUGGUGUAGCGGUGAAAUGCGUAGAUAUCAGGAGGAACACCGGUGGUGUAAACGGCUUUCUGGACCAUAACUGACGCUGAGGCACGAAAGCGUGGGUAGCAAACAGGAUUAGAUACCCUGGUAGUCCACGCCCUAAACGAUGCACAUUUGGUGUGGGUCAUUCAGUUGAUCCGUGCCGGAGCUAACGCGUUAAAUGUGCCGCCUGGGGAGUACAGUCGCAAGGCUGAA